rnacentral:rRNA from 1 species
AUUGAACGCUGGCGGAAUGCUUUACACAUGCAAGUCGAGCGGCAGCACGGGGGUAACCCUGGUGGCGAGCGGCGAACGGGUGAGUAAUACAUCGGAACAUGCCCAGUCGUGGGGGAUAACCCUCCGAAGAAGGUGCUAAUCCCGCAACCGUCCUGAGGGAGAAAGGGGGGGAUCCCAAGCCCUCGCGGGUUUGGGGUGGCCGAUGUCAGAUUAGCUAGUUGGUGGGGUAAAGGCCUACCAAGGCAACGAUCUGUAGCUGGUCUGAGAGGAUGAUCAGCCACACUGGGACUGAGACACGGCCCAGACUCCUACGGGAGGCAGCAGUGGGGAAUUUUGGACAAUGGGGGCAACCCUGAUCCAGCCAUUCCGCGUGAGUGAAGAAGGCCUUCGGGUUGUAAAGCUCUUUCGGCAGGAACGAAACGGUGAGCUCUAACAUAGCUUGCUAAUGACGGUACCUGAAGAAGAAGCACCGGCUAACUACGUG